ensembl:lncRNA
GUCGAGAGUUGUGAGAAGAGUCUGGCUGCAGAAGUCCACUGUGGUGCAGGAUGUUUACUUUGACGUCAGUAGAUUUCUUUCGGUUUAUUUCAUUUGGUGGCAACAUUUGCUGCUUUUAAUAUCAUUAAUUGCGUUAUAUUAAUGAUUAAUUAUUUGACGUUUAAUACACGGAAAUAGAUAUUUCUCUUUGUCAACACUGAACGUGAUGUUACUGAAAAUAAAUCUUGUUAAAUUUAAAUAAAUGAUGUUUAUUGGCGCGUUUGUACCCGUGCAGAGUAGCGCGAAGGGAGAUGAAUCUCGCCUUUAUUUUACAAACGCGGGAAACUUAAAGCGCUCCCCAGCCCACGGCGUGCAGUCGGGGAAGGUAAAAUGAUGGCGAGAAGACGGAGUUGAGAAGGCCAGGUUAAAGGGGAGUACAGCUGGACCACUGAGAGUUCUGGUUAACAACACUCUCCAACCUCCGUUACACCUCGACCGGAUCACCCCAAGGCUGCGUGCUGUCCCCCCUGCUCUUCAUCUUAUACACAGACAGCCCAACACAGUUCUCCUGUCCCUGCUGUCAGACCCCUCUCUCAUCCAUGGUCCUGUUCUGCAGGAGUUUGUGGACUGGUGUGACACUUCACAUCUGGAACUGAACGUAAGUAAACCCAAAGAAAUGGAGGUACCUGGAUGCAGCAGUUACCACCUCCAACCACCGGAAACCGAUAGAGCUAGUUGAGGAGUAUAAAUACCUGGGCACCAUCUUUGACCACCUACUGAAGUUCUCCUCAAACACAGAGGAGAUCCUCAGAUAGUGUCAUCAGCGGCAACACCUACUCAGGAAGCUCAAGCCAUUUGGAGUCAGAAAAGACAUUUUACAGACCUUUUACUUCUCCUUCAUAGAGAGCGUCAUAUCCUUCUCCAUCAUCGGCUGGAUCCGUUCCAACACCAUGCAGAACAGAAAUCGGUUACAGAGCAGUCAACGUGUGCUCCAAGAUCAUUAGAGAUCCCUCAUACCCUCUGAACCCUUUGUUCCUAAAGCUGUCCUUCUAUUGAACUCUGGACGAUUAUCACCUCACACACUUUUUAAAUGUACCUUACUGCUCCGGUUAUGUACAUGUUAUGUACGUUGUUCGUAGUGCAAUACAGGGAACAUUUUAUUCUAUGUCAUUGGAACAAGUGUUAUUCAUGAGCUGCUCCACUGUGCCUUCUAAAUUGCCCCUCGGGGACAAAUAAAGUUCUCUGGACUUGAAAUUAAAGAAUGUCACACAACAGAACUUUUUCCCCACAAGCCUUUACACAGCUGCAUUCCCCCAU